GGGGAUGACCGGAUUUGACAGCGGGUUGAGAUGGUACGUAAGCACGUGGAGCGUUGGCCGUUGGCUCCCUAAUCUCAUCGGUCAAAGAAUUAUCUGGCGAAAAACAAUACGCUCUCGCUGCCUGAUCGAAGCACAGUAGAUGUAAGGCUUUAUUCUGUUACAAGGUAACGGAACGAGACAUUGCUCGGGAAUUGUGUUUCCGAAAUAGCCCGAAAAAGCAAUGCGGUUUCAUCGGAAAUAGUCAAGUCGCGCCUCAUCGGCUUGAUGAAAUUUCAGAGGAUAAGGUUAUGAUGGGUGGUCCGGGUCUUGUCAUAACACGAAAAUAAAAGUCCGGAAUAAACGUGUAGAAAGCGUAUGGUUUCCCUGUUUGGACGAGGGUUCAACUCCCUCCAUCUCCACUU
rfam:Prevotella marshii DSM 16973 genomic scaffold SCAFFOLD1, whole genome shotgun sequence.